UUAGCCAAGAAUGGCUUGCCUAUCUCUACUAUUUGGUUCAUCAGGGAGUCCUUAUGAUGGAUGAAAUGUGGAUGAUGGCAGCCAUUCUUGCUAAGU
rnacentral:pre_miRNA from 1 species